rnacentral:rRNA from 1 species
UUAGAAGCAGCCACCCUUUAAAGAAAGCGUAAUAGCUCACUAGUCGAGUCGGCCUGCGCGGAAGAUGUAACGGGGCUAAAACUAUGUGCCGAAGCUGCGGAUUUGACAUUAGUCAAGUGGUAGGGGAGCGUUCUGUAAGCCGAUGAAGGUGUAUUGAGAAGUAUGCUGGAGGUAUCAGAAGUGCGAAUGCUGACGUGAGUAACGACAAAACGGGUGAAAAACCCGUUCGCCGAAAGACCAAGGGUUCCAGUCCAACGUUAAUCG